GAUGAACGCUGGCGGCGUGCCUAAUACAUGCAAGUCGAGCGAACGGACGAGAAGCUUGCUUCUCUGAUGUUAGCGGCGGACGGGUGAGUAACACGUGGAUAACCUACCUAUAAGACUGGGAUAACUUCGGGAAACCGGAGCUAAUACCGGAUAAUAUUUUGAACCGCAUGGUUCAAAAGUGAAAGACGGUCUUGCUGUCACUUAUAGAUGGAUCCGCGCUGCAUUAGCUAGUUGGUAAGGUAACGGCUUACCAAGGCAACGAUGCAUAGCCGACCUGAGAGGGUGAUCGGCCACACUGGAACUGAGACACGGUCCAGACUCCUACGGUAGGCAGCAGUAGGGAAUCUUCCGCAAUGGGCGAAAGCCUGACGGAGCAACGCCGCGUGAGUGAUGAAGGUCUUCGGAUCGUAAAACUCUGUUAUUAGGGAAGAACAUAUGUGUAAGUAACUGUGCACAUCUUGACGGUACCUAAUCAGAAAGCCACGGCUAACUACGUG
rnacentral:rRNA from 1 species